UACAGAGGGUGCAAGCGUUGUUCGGAAUUAUUGGGCGUAAAGGGAGUGUAGGCGGUUGGGAAAGUCUUCUGUGAAAUCUACGGGCUCAGCCUGUAACGUGCAGAGGAAACUACUCGGCUUGAGUGUCGGAGAGGAUAGGGGAAUACCCGGUGUAGAGGUGAAAUUCGUAGAGAUCGGGUGGAACACCAGUGGCGAAGGCGCCUGUCUGGCUGACAACUGACGCUGAGACUCGAAAGCAUGUGGAGCAAACAGG
rnacentral:rRNA from 1 species